rnacentral:rRNA from 1 species
GUCUAGGGCCAUACCACUCUGAACGUGCCCGAUCUCGUCUGAUCUCAGAAGCUAAGCAGGGUCGGGCCUGGUUAGUACUUGGAUGGGAGAAUAUUUUUUCAACUUUCAGUGUAGACC